rnacentral:rRNA from 1 species
CUCUUUCAAGAUUAUGUGGUAGGUGGUGCAUGGCCGUUCUUAGUUCGUGAAGUGAUUCGUUCGCCCAAUCGCAUUUCCAAACAACUAACAACUCAGAAUGCUGGGCAAUAGGACGUUUAAAGUGGCUCCUUACACCUUACAAAGGAAUGGCUGAUGAGAAACAACUCGAUCCGCUCAGCGUUCUAUUGGAAUGCAACGGACGUGAUUGCAAGCUUUUGUUUUGAGUUGCGGUUUUACUGAAAGACUCUACAAUCCGCAAACUUCAA